AGCGGCAAAAACAAAACCGCAAGCACCAGCCGCAACGACAACGACAACAACAGCGACAACGCCGACGCCAGCGUAAUAGAGCAAUAGGCAGGCAGGUGGUGGGCGGUGGAGGGGCACCCUGUGCGGUUUAGGGCUGAAACACGGGUAGUAUUUGCAUAAUCUACAUCAAAACACAACACGCAUCCCCCACUCGGUGGGGCGGAUGCUGCUCACUGGGCUUUUGGGGGCUGCGCUUAGACUUAGACUGGACACCCACUGGCGCGCAGACACACACGCACACACAUACACACUCACUCAUGUUGAGGGGACUUUCCCUUUUGGCAGGAAAUCAGGAGAAUCAAGUGGCGAGCCAAAGUUGUAAAGUGCUACUAACUCAGGCAAAAUAAAACUUAUGCGACUAAACCG
rnacentral:lncRNA from 1 species